GACGUAGGGCGCGAGCGUUGUCCGGAUUUAUUGGGCGUAAAGAGCUCGUAGGCGGCUUGUCGCGUCGACUGCGAAAACCCGCGGCUUAACUGCGGGACUGCAGUCGAUACGGGCAGGCUAGAGUUCGGUAGGGGAGACUGGAAUUCCUGGUGUAGCGGUGAAAUGCGCAGAUAUCAGGAAGAACACCCGUGGCGAAGGCGGCUCUCUGGGACGGUACUGACGCUGAGACGCGAAAGCGUGGGGAGCGAACAGG
rnacentral:rRNA from 1 species